GACGAACGCUGGCGGCGUGCUUAACACAUGCAAGUCGAACGGAAAGGCCUCUUUCGGGGGGUACUCGAGUGGCGAACGGGUGAGUAACACGUGAGUAACCUGCCCUUGACUUUGGGAUAACUUCAGGAAACUGGGGCUAAUACCGGAUAGGAGCUCCUGCUGCAUGGUGGGGGUUGGAAAGUUUCGGCGGUUGGGGAUGGACUCGCGGCUUAUCAGCUUGUUGGUGGGGUAGUGGCUUACCAAGGCUUUGACGGGUAGCCGGCCUGAGAGGGUGACCGGCCACAUUGGGACUGAGAUACGGCCCAGACUCCUACGGGAGGCAGCAGUGGAGAAUAUUGCACAAUGGGUGGAGGCCUGAUGCAGCAACGCCGUGUGGGGGAUGACGGCCUUCGGGUUGUAAACCGCUUUCGCUCAUGACGAAGCUUUGUGUGACGGUAGUGGGUAAAGAAGCACCGGCUAACUACGUG
rnacentral:rRNA from 1 species